rnacentral:rRNA from 1 species
AUUGAACGCUGGCGGCAUGCCUUACACAUGCAAGUCGAACGGCAGCACGGGUGCUUGCACCUGGUGGCGAGUGGCGAACGGGUGAGUAAUAUAUCGGAACGUACCUUAUUGUGGGGGAUAACGCAGCGAAAGCUGUGCUAAUACCGCAUAACCCCUAAGGGGGAAAGCGGGGGACCGUAAGGCCUCGCGCAAUUAGAGCGGCCGAUACCUGAUUAGCUAGUUGGUGAGGUAAAGGCUCACCAAGGCAACGAUCAGUAGCUGGUCUGAGAGGACGAUCAGCCACACUGGGACUGAGACACGGCCCAGACUCCUACGGGAGGCAGCAGUGGGGAAUUUUGGACAAUGGGGGCAACCCUGAUCCAGCAAUGCCGCGUGAGUGAAGAAGGCCUUCGGGUUGUAAAGCUCUUUUGUCAGGGAAGAAACAGCAGCUCUAACACAGUAUGCGAAUGACGGUACCUGAAGAAUAAGCACCGGCUAACUACGUGCCAGCAGCCGCAGUAA